rnacentral:rRNA from 1 species
UGGAGAAAUUUGAUCCUGGCUCAGGACGAACGCUGGCGGCGUGCCUAAUACAUGCAAGUCGAGCGCGGGAAGCAAACCGAAAUCCCUUCGGGAGGACGUUUGUGGAACGAGCGGCGGACGGGUGAGUAACACGUGGGCAACCUGCCUGUAAGACUGGGAUAACUCCGGGAAACCGGGGCUAAUACCGGAUAACUCAUCGGAUCGCAUGAUCCGAGGUUGAAAGAUGGCUUCUUGCUAUCACUUACAGAUGGGCCCGCGGCGCAUUAGCUAGUUGGUGAGGUAACGGCUCACCAAGGCCACGAUGCGUAGCCGACCUGAGAGGGUGAUCGGCCACACUGGGACUGAGACACGGCCCAGACUCCUACGGGAGGCAGCAGUAGGGAAUCAUCCGCAAUGGACGAAAGUCUGACGGUGCAACGCCGCGUGAGUGAGGAAGGCCUUCGGGUCGUAAAACUCUGUUGUUAGGGAAGAACAAGUUCCGUUCGAAUAGGGCGGAGCCUUGACGGUACCUAACCAGAAAGCCACGGCUAACUACGUGCCAGCAGCCGCGGUAAUAA